GUGCUCACUUCAGCAGCACAUAUACUAAAAUUGGAAUGAUUCAGAGAGGAUUAGCAUGGCCUCUGUGCAAGGAUGACAUGCAAAUUUGUGAAACAUUCCAAAUUUUU
rnacentral:snRNA from 1 species